rnacentral:rRNA from 1 species
AGUCACUGACAUUAGAUACCCGUGUAGUCCAGGGUGUAAACGCUGCAGACUUGGUGUUGGAAAUCCUUCGAGGGUAUUCAGUGCCGGAGAGAAGUUGUUAAGUCUGCUACUUGGGAGUACGUCCGCAAGGAUGAAACUUAAAGGAAUUGGCGGGGGAGCACCGCAACGGGAGGAGCGUGCGGUUUAAUUGGAUUCAACACCGUAAACUCACCAGGGAAGACUGUUACAUGAAAGCCGAGAUGAAGACUCUGCUAGAUUUUCAG